rnacentral:rRNA from 1 species
GACGAACGCUGGCGGCGUGCUUAACACAUGCAAGUGGAGCGACGAACCAGGCUUCGGCCUGGGGCAGAGCCGCGAACGGGUGAGUAACACGUGGGUAACCUGCCCUGAUGAUCGGGACAACCCGGGAACCGGGCUAAUACCGAAUGUGCCCGCGAGCCGCAAGGCUUGCGAGGAAAGGAAGCUUCGGCCUCCGCAUCGGGAUGGGCCCGCGGCCCAUUAGCUUGUUGGUGGGGUAACGCCUACCAAGGCAGCAAUGGGUAGCUGGUCUGAGAGGACGAUCAGCCACACUGGGACUGAGACACGGCCCAGACUCCUACGGGAGGCAGCGGUGGGGAAUCUUGCGCAAUGGGCGAAAGCCUGACGCAGCGACGCCGCGUGAGGGAUGACGGCC